rnacentral:rRNA from 1 species
UACGGAGGGGGCUAGCGUUGUUCGGAAUUACUGGGCGUAAAGCGCGUGUAGGCGGGUCUUUAAGUCAGGGGUGAAAUGCCAAGGCUCAACCUUGGAACUGCCUUUGAUACUGGAGAUCUUGAGUCCGGGAGAGGUGAGUGGAAUUGCGAGUGUAGAGGUGAAAUUCGUAGAUAUUCGCAAGAACACCAGUGGCGAAGGCGGCUCACUGGCCCGGAACUGACGCUGAGACGCGAAAGCGUGGGGAGCAAACAGG